UCUGAAUGCGUGAAUUGGGAAUUUCAUCUUUUGUACAGAAUCCGAAUUCACAUCCUAUCCUUAAAAAGGAAGGAGAUAAGAAAAAUGUCAACUACAUAAAAAAUAAUAGUCUCCUGAAAACGACACCGUUUCUUUUGCAACACGGAUCCACCUGAAAUCUGGUUCCCUUCGAAAUUCCUCUGUCUCAAUUUCAAGUUGGAAACUUUUUGCUUUAUUGCUUGUUGGGUUCGUUCUAAAAUCUGGAGCUUUGAAUUGUGAUUUUGAGAUCACAAACAAUGGUGAAGGAAACUCUCUACUAUGACAUAUUAGGUGUCAGUUCUGAUGCACCUGCUGCAGAUAUCAAGAAGGCUUAUUAUGUCAAGGCAAGAAUAGUUCACCCUGAUAAAAAUCCUGGGGAUCCUAAGGCUGCACAAAAUUUUCAGAUGCUUGGCGAGGCCUACCAGGUCUUAAGCGACCCUGAGAAGCGUGAAGCAUAUGAUAAGAAUGGAAAGGCAGGAGUGUCAGAAGAUUCCAUGAUGGACCCUACAACUGUAUUUGGAAUGCUUUUUGGAAGUGAAUUUUUUGAAGAAUAUAUUGGAAAACUUGCACUGGCUUCUUUAGCAUCUAUAGAAAUUGAGGAAGACUCACUGGAACCUCAAGCUCGUAUGCAGAGAAUUCAAGAAAAGAUGAAAGCAUGGCAGAAGGAAAGAGAACAAAAGCUUAUAUCAGUUCUGAAAGAUCGUCUGCAACCAUUUGUUGAUGGCCGAGAAGAUGAAUUUACAGCAUGGGCAAAUUCAGAAGCAAGUAAUCUUUCAAAAGCUGCUUUUGGAGAGGCCAUGCUACAUACAAUUGGUUAUAUCUACACGCGGAAAGCAGCAAAAGAACUUGGAAAGGAUAUUCGGUUUAUGAAUGUUCCCUUCAUUGCUGAGUGGGUACGAGACAAAGGUCACCGUAUAAAGUCGCAAGUGACAGCAGCCUCAGGAGCUGUGUCCCUGAUUCAAGUACAAGAAGAGCUCAAGAAGCUAAAUCAAGGAGAAAAUAAAGAAGAAAACAUAAUAAAAGCUCUUGAAGAUAAGAAGGAUGCCAUGAUUAAUUCCCUAUGGAAGAUAAAUGUGAUUGAUAUUGAAUCAACUCUGUCACAUGUUUGCCAAGCAGUUCUUAAAGAUCCUAGCGUGUCCAAAGAUGUUCUGAGGUCUCGCGCCAAAGCAUUGAAAAAGUUAGGAACCGUCUUUCAAGAACCAAUAUCAAUUAUGCAGGUGUAAAAUUGAUUCCGGCUUGUUUGGGUGUUUUCGAGUUGAAUUGAUUCUAACUUGAAGCUAGGAUUUGUAGCUUUUGAGUCUAAACGGUGCUAAGGUCGCUUAUAACAGAGAGAACAGUCUACGCCAAGAAAGUGGCAACCGGGUAGACGCUGGUCCCUCAUCAUAGUAAUCUUGUUCUGUUUGUUUAAUAUGGUUUGUGUAUUGAGAUAAUCAUGUUCUUAUGGCCUUUUGGCUCUCAAUGGCAUUGGACCUUGUUUCUUCCAAAGAAAAACACCAAGAAGCUAAAGAAACAGUUGUUCCAGUAAAAGUUUCCAAUAUACUUUCACUUUGAUUUGUGAUUGGACUAAACUACCAUAGUGCAAUCUACAUAUGUAUGUCUGUAAAGCAAUAUAUUUAGCUUCUGUAAGUGAUAUAUAAUAUUCCAUUUAUCUUUGAAUUGGUGUGUCCAUCAUAAAUUCCUAUUUUCUCUGGGAGAGGAUACA